rnacentral:rRNA from 1 species
CUACGGGACGCACCAGUGGGGAAUAUUGCACAAUGGGCGCAAGCCUGAUGCAGCCAUGCCGCGUGUAUGAAGAAGGCCUUCGGGUUGUAAAGUACUUUCAGCGGGGAGGAAGGGAGUAAAGUUAAUACCUUUGCUCAUUGACGUUACCCGCAGAAGAAGCACCGGCUAACUCCGUGCCAGCGCCGCGGUAAUACGGAGGGUGCAAGCGUUAAUCGGAAUUACUGGGCGUAAAGCGCACGCAGGCGGUUUGUUAAGUCAGAUGUGAAAUCCCCGGGCUCAACCUGGGAACUGCACCUGAUACUGGCAAGCUUGAGUCUCGUAGAGGGGGGUAGAAUUCCAGGUGUAGCGGUGAAAUGCGUAGAGAUCUGGAGGAAUACCGGUGGCGAAGGCGGCCCCCUGGACGAAGACUGACGCUCAGGUGCGAAAGCGUGGGGAGCAAACAGGAUUAGAUACCCUCGUAGUC